CAAGAGCGUAUGUAAAAGUUGUUGCAGUUAAAAAGCUCGUAGUUGAACCUUGGGUUUGGUUGGCCGGUCCGCUUUUUUGCGAGUACUGGAUUCAACCGAGCCUUUCCUUCUGGCUAACCAGUCGUUUCGGCGGCUGGCGAACCAGGAUUUUUACUUUGAGAAAAUUAGAGGGUUCAAAGCAGGCAUUAGCUUGAAUAUAUUAGCAUGGAAUAAUAGAAUAGGACGUUAUGGUUCUAUUUUGUUGGUUUCUAGGACCAUCGUAAUGAUUAAUAGGGACGGUCGGGGGCAUCAGUAUUCAGUUGUCAGAGGUGAAAUUCUUGGAUUUACUGAAGACUAACUACUGCGAAAGCAUUUGCCAAGGACGUUUUCAUUAA
rnacentral:rRNA from 1 species